rnacentral:lncRNA from 1 species
UCGUUUAUAACAAAAUUUAUUAUUCCAAACAAAUUUGGUCAGCUACUCUUUCUUUUCUAGUAUAUUAUUGAGUAUAUCAACUAUACUAACAUAGUAAAAUAAAUUGUAUUUUUAUUAAUAAAAUGGCUCUAAUGGCCUUUUUAUGAUUAUUCGAGAUGAAAUUUUAACUCCAUCCUUUGAGAUUACAAUAUUUAAAGUAUUUUACAAUAGUGUUUACUUUUAAUAGUUACGACAUAUACAUUUAUUUGAAAUACAUUUUGGAAAAUAAGGAGUUGCGCAAAAAUAUGUGGAACAAUCAGAAUCAUCCUCGCAAUUUAGCCUCUCAUCUGCUGUAAUAUAAAAAAAAAUAAAAGAAACAAAUAUUAGCAAAAAUGGUGAAUUAUUUUAUAUUAGAUAACAAGUUCAAAAAGAUACAUAAGUUAUUUACCAGUAACGCCUGUUACAACAGCAAAUAAGAAAAUAAAGAGGUUACUGGAUAAACAAACGUAAUAAUUUUAGCCAUAAUUUGUCUCCUAAUUUUGCAAGAAAUAGAAAUGUAUUAAUCACUUUAUAUUGUAAAAGUAAUAUAUGUCUUGUUUAUUUGUUUCAAUUUUUCAG